UGGGACCCUUGGUGGCUACCAGGCAUCCGCACUGCACCACAGAAAGGGGCGCUCCAGGUGAGGGUCCCCCAAGAACCUCGACAGUAAGACCCCCGCCCCGAGCCCUUGCCUGCGUGGAGGCGGCCCACGGUCAGGCACAGGCCUGGCUCAAAGAUGGGGCAGGAGCCUCCAGGACGGGGCCGGCCGGGCCACCCACAAUGUGAAUCAGGGCUGGAGACAGAAGAGGCAGCGUCCCAGCACCACUUGGAGCACUGGUCACCAGGCCACUUGGGGACCACAGGCUGCAGCCGUCCAGCAUCACCACCGCCAGCACUGCCAGCCUCUUGCUUCCGGGGUUGUUUUUGCAUCUGUGGCCCCAGCAUGACUCUGGGUCCAGGCCCAGGCAUCCUCAUCCCAGCUGAGGGUGUGCUCUGAGGCCGGGCAGCUGCCUCCUCAGACCUCUGAGCCUCCCACAAAGAGCCGAUGGUCCUCCUGGUGCUGAGCACCUCCCCACCACGCAGACCUGUGGUCGCAGCCACAGAGGAUGCACGGUGCCCUUCGCUCCAGCCUGGGGGGCUGGGGGCACCUGUGGCCCUGGCAGUGACGUUCCUGUUACCUGUGGCCCACCCAGAGGCCCGAAUCUGCGUUAGUUGCCCACAACCAUAAAGGACAAAAGGAAAACGGGCUGGACAAGAUGGUACACGCCUUUAAUCCCAGCGCUUGGCUGAGGCAGGAGGGUCAUAGAGAG